rnacentral:rRNA from 1 species
GACGAACGCUGGCGGCGUGCUUAACACAUGCAAGUCGAACGGAAAGGCCCUGCUUUUGUGGGGUGCUCGAGUGGCGAACGGGUGAGUAACACGUGAGUAACCUGCCCUUGACUUUGGGAUAACUUCAGGAAACUGGGGCUAAUACCGGAUAGGAGCUCCUGCUGCAUGGUGGGGGUUGGAAAGUUUCGGCGGUUGGGGAUGGACUCGCGGCUUAUCAGCUUGUUGGUGGGGUAGUGGCUUACCAAGGCUUUGACGGGUAGCCGGCCUGAGAGGGUGACCGGCCACAUUGGGAAUGAGAUACGGCCCAGACUCCUACGGGAGGGAGCAGGGGGGAAUAUUGCACAAUGGGCGGAAGCCUGAUGCAGCAACGCCGCGUGCGGGAUGACGGGCUUCGGGUUGUAAACCGCUUUCGCCUGUGACGAAGCGUGAGUGACGGUAAUGGGUAAAGAAGCACCGGCUAACUACGUG